rnacentral:rRNA from 1 species
UUGUAAGUAAUGAAGAGCGUACGGUGGAUGCCUUGGCACCAGGAGCCGAUGAAGGACGUAGGAGGCUGCGAUAAGCCUCGGGGAGCUGUCAACCGAGCUGUGAUCCGAGGGUGUCCGAAUGGGGAAACCCAGCACGAGUGAUGUCGUGUUACCCGCAUCUGAAUAUAUAGGGUGUGUGGAGGGAACGUGGGGAAGUGAAACAUCUCAGUACCCACAGGAAGAGAAAACAAUUGUGAUUCCGUGAGUAGUGGCGAGCGAAAGCGGAUGAGGCCAAACUUUGUGCGUGUGAUACCCGGCAGGGGUUGCGUAUGGAGGGUUGUGGGGUUUGCAUUGUCGAUUCUGCCGGAUCGGCCGACAGUAAGAAAUUGUGGUGUUAGUCGAAGUGGUCUGGAACGGCCUGUCGUAGAGGGUGAGAGUCCCGUAGACGAAAACAUUGCAACUGUCGUUGUGGAUUCCCAAGUAGCAGCGGGCCCGUGAAAUCUGCUGUGAAUCUGUCGGGACCACCCGAUAAGCCUGAAUACUCCCUGGUGACCGAUAGCGGACUAGUACCGUGAGGGAAAGGUGAAAAGUACCCCGGGAGGGGAGUGAAAUAGUACCUGAAACCGUGCGCUUACAAUCCGUCAAAGCUGGUGAACAGUUUACUGUUGCUGGUGAUGGCGUGCCUUUUGAAGAAUGAGCCUGCGAGUUAGUGGCAUGUCGCGAGGUUAACCCGUGUGGGGUAGCCGUAGCGAAAGCGAGUCCGAAUAGGGCGUAUCCACCUCGAGUGGUGUAGUGGCGUGUUCUAGACCCGAAGCGGAGUGAUCUACCCAUGGCCAGGUUGAAGCGACGGUAAGACGUCGUGGAGGACCGAACCCACUUAGGUUGAAAACUGAGGGGAUGAGUUGUGGGUAGGGGUGAAAGGCCAAUCAAACUCCGUGAUAGCUGGUUCUCCCCGAAAUGCAUUUAGGUGCAGCGUCACGUGUUUCUCAUCGGAGGUAGAGCUACUGGAUGGUCUAGGGGGCCUACAAGCUUACCGAAAUCAGCCAAACUCCGAAUGCCGGUGAGUGAGAGCGUGGCAGUGAGACUGCGGGCGAUAAGGUUCGUAGUCGAGAGGGAAACAGCCCAGAUCGCCAGCUAAGGUCCCUAAGCGUGUACUAAGUGGAAAAGGAUGUGGGGUCGCGAAGACAACCAGGAGGUUGGCUUAGAAGCAGCCACCCUUGAAAGAGUGCGUAAUAGCUCACUGGUCAAGUGAUCCUGCGCCGACAAUGUAGCGGGGCUCAAGUACACCACCGAAGCUGCGGCACUCACACAAUAGCCCC